UAUAAUUGUCAGCUAAGUGGCGCACGGGUGAGUAAUGUAUAGAUAACCUGCCCUUAAGAAAGGAAUAACAGUUGGAAACGACUGCUAAUGCCCUAUAUGCCUUUAAUACAUAAGUAUGCAAGGGAAACGCUUUAGUGCUUAAGGAUGGGUCUGUAUGGUAUCAGCUUGUUGGUGAGGUAAUGGCUCACCAAGGCUAUGACGCCUAACUGGUUUGAGAGGAUGAUCAGUCACACUGGAACUGAGACACGGUCCAGACUCCUACGGGAGGCAGCAGUGGGGAAUAUUGCACAAUGGACGAAAGUCUGAUGCAGCAACGCCGCGUGGAGGAUGACACAUUUCGGUGCGUAAACUCCUUUUAUAUAGGAAGAUAAUGACGGUACUAUAUGAAUAAGCACCGGCUAACUCCGUGCCAGCAGCCGCGGUAAUACGGAGGGUGCAAGCGUUACUCGGAAUCACUGGGCGUAAAGAGCGUGUAGGCGGGUAUAUAAGUCAGAAGUGAAAUCCAAUAGCUCAACUAUUGAACUGCUUUUGAAACUGUAUACCUAGAAUGUGGGAGAGGUAGAUGGAAUUUCUGGUGUAGGGGUAAAAUCCGUAGAGAUCAGAAGGAAUACCGAUUGCGAAGGCGAUCUACUGGAACAUUAUUGACGCUGAGACGCGAAAGCGUGGGGAGCAAACAGGAUUAGAUACCCUGGUAGUCCACGCCCUAAACGAUGUACACUAGUUGUUGUGAGGCUCGACCUUGCAGUAAUGCAGUUAACACAUUAAGUGUACCGCCUGGGGAGUACGGUCGCAAGAUUAAA
rnacentral:rRNA from 1 species